rnacentral:tRNA from 1 species
GCAUUGGUGGUUCAGUGGUAGUAUUCUUACCUGCCACGUGGUAGACCUGGGUCUGAUUCCCGGCCAAUGCA